CAUCAAUCUCUAGAAGAACCAAACCUCAGCACCAACCUGUUCAUCAUGAUGAUCAGAAUCCUCUGCCUGAGCGUCCUCGUGCUGCUUUUCUGCACAGACAUUGAAGCUAAAAAAGAAAAGUUCAAAAAGUUCAAGUGUUACACUUGUACAGAGAAAUACUGCAAAAAACAACAGUAUUGUAGUGAAGGACAGGUCUGCAUGAGCGCCUCUGUUAUCGAAGUCACACAUGGACAUCAGAAUAAAUCCUACUACAGGUCCUGUACGUCACCUUCAUACUGUCCAAAGAGUGAAAAAGCAGAGACCUUGUCCAUCGGCUUGGGUUAUCAGGUGUUUGUGGCGAACGUUAAGUGCUGCAAGUCCCAUCUCUGCAACAAAAAACGUCAACCCCACCCUAAGAUACCAUCAGGAAAUGGGUUGACGUGCCUUUUCUGCAGCAACACUAAAAACCCAAAGGAAUGCAAAGUCAAGGAAUGCAUUGGAAAUCAAACUCACUGCGUGCGAGCAAUCAGAAAUGGAACUCAUCAGAGUGGGUGUGCAACUAAAAACUUCUGUCACCCCGACAAGAUACUUGGACGCUACAAGCCUGUUAAUGGCUUCGCUGGUGCCCUCAGUUUUCCAGCUGAGUGUGAGAAAGCAAAACCUGCACCUGAGCCAACAACUGCUGAACCAACAACUGCUGAACCAACAACUGCUGAACCAACAACUGCUGAACCAACAACUGCUGAACCAACAACUGCUGAACCAACAACUGCUGAACCAAAGUGUGUUCCAGUUGAAACCACUCCUGAACCAACCCUUCCACCCUGUGAUAGAAAGGGAUAACUACUCCCACCACGUAAAAGCAGUUUCUUUGUCUUGCUGACAAAACCAUUAAAAGGUUGAUUAAAGUCUGGGUGAAUCUUUAGUGGAUCCUACAUCAAACAUAGAGAUCUUAACAAACUUAUCAGACCACC
rnacentral:lncRNA from 1 species